GCCCGGGUGGCGAAAUCGGUAGACGCAGGGGAUUCAAAAUCCCCCGCCGCAAGGCGUAACGGUUCGAGUCCGUUCCCGGGCACCA
rnacentral:tRNA from 3 species